rnacentral:rRNA from 1 species
UACGUAGGGUCCAAGCGUUAUCCGGAAUCACUGGGCGUAAAGCGUGCGUAGGUGGAUUGUUAAGUGCGGUGCGAAAUCCUGUGGCUCAACCAUAUGGACUGUAUCGCAUACUGGCAAUCUAGGGGACAUGAGAGGCAAGUGGAAUUACUGGUGUAGCAGUGAAAUGCGUAGAGAUCAGUAGGAACACCAAUGGCGAAGGCAGCUUGCUGGCACGUAUCUGACGCUAAGGCACGAAAGCGUGGGGAGCGAACAGG